ensembl:lncRNA
CAGAUAAAGACAUAAAUGACCCGGGAAACCAGGGAGGACUGCCUGGAGGAGGCAGUGCCUAAGCCAGGACCAAAUUUAGCCAGGGAGAAGUGUUUCAGAAGAGGCCUCCUGGCAGGCUCUGGAAGGAAGAAGGGCCAGAGGUAGUGCCCCACAGUGGAGCCUCACGUCCGGCCUGGUUUCUGCCUCGUGGAUGGGGUCAAGAGAGUGGAAUCAAGCCGAGUGCAUGUGACGUGCAGGGAAGAAAGCGGACCAAGAACGGGUCCCAGAGCCUGAAGCAAGCCAUCUGCAAGCCGUGCCCCAGCUCCUUCCGUCUCCGAGGUUUACUUCCUGUACUUGACGAGGGCCCACUGGGCAGGGCCUCUCUCUCGGCUCCGCGUCUGCGCCCUCGACAGGCCGGCACACAGUGGGUGCUUUGCUGAAGGUGGAACUUCUCUGACCGGGAUCAAAUCCAUG